AGAAAUCAGACGGACAAAAUGUGUCUGACAGGUUAACACCUGACUGCUCUGUACCUUAUUUCCCUCCACUGCACAAUAUGUAGAUACUGCAGACCCAGCAUGCCACAUAAACAGUUGCUUAACAGACCUCAUCGAAUGAAUGAAUGCUAGCUGUCUCAAAGUGAACCCGGACAAAACAGAGUUACUCUUGGUGAGGGUCCCCCGAGCAUCAAAAUAUCCCACGAUAACCCAACUGGCCUGGAGCUUGGAGGCUCUGAACUCGUUAGUUCAGCAAAGGUACGAAACCUCGGAGUGCUGAUUGACGCUAGACUAUCUUUUAAACAGCAGAUUUCCUCCGUAAUAAAAUCUGCCUACUUUCAUCUGAAAAACAUAGCCAGGAUACAACACUUAAUUCCACCGGAUGAUAUGCCAACAUUAAUCCAUGCAUUUGUAUCCUCUAGGCUAGAUUACUGCAAUGCACUUUACUUGGGCCUCCCAAAAAAAGAACUCCAUCGCCUUCAGACAGUACAAAAUGCAGCAGCCAGACUAUUGACCAAUCAAACUCGCUCCUGCCACAUAACACCUGUUCUCCACUCCCUGCAUUGGCUUCCAAUUAAAUGGUGAACAUAUUUUAAAAUUGGCCUGCUGACCUUCAAAGCCUUAAACAACCAAGGCCCACAGUACCUGAAAGAGCUCCUGACACCCUACAUUCCAUCCCGUUCACUUAGGUCAGCCAACACAUCCUUCCUCUCAGUGCCUAGAAUAAGGACAAACUCAGGCUCCAGAGCAUUCUGCCACGCUGCCCCUACUUUCUGGAACUCUUUACCGUGCGCAAUCAGAGAGGCACCGUCCUUACAGACUUUUAACAAAAAGCUAAAGACCCACCUCUUCCAUCAGGCAUUCAGUCCGCUUAUCUGACCUUCAGAAACUCCUAACUUUUAUGUCUUAUGUUGGUAUAUUUGUAAAGUGCUUUGAGUCUCACAGGGAGAAAAGCGCUAUAUAAAUUGCCAAUUAUUAUUAUUAUUAUUAUCUUUUCCACUACUACAUGCAGGUGUUUCCCACCUUUUUCAAACUGACUGUUUAUGCUGUUUUCUUUCUUUAAAAUGGCAGUCUAGUCAAAAUUAAACUUUCAGGAUUCAGAUAGGGCAUGCAAUUUUAAAAGACUUUCCAAUUUACAUUUAUCAUUAAAUUUGUUUUGUUAUUUUGGAAUUAUUUGUUGAAAGCUAAACCUAUGUAGGCUCAUAUGCUAAAUUCUAAGGCCUUGAAGGCCUCCUCUUAUCUCACUGCAUUUUAACAGGUUUUUUUUACAACUAAACAGCGCUAGUUCAUGUGUGCCAUAUAGAUAAUAUUGUGCUCACUCCCGUGGAGUAGCUAGGAAUCAGCACUGAUCAGCUAAAAUGCAAGUCUGUCAAAAGAACUGAUAUAAGGGGGCAGUCUGCAGAGGCUUAGAUACAAGGUAAUUACAGAGGUAAAAAGUAUAUUAAUAUAUCUGUGCUUGUUAUUCAAAACUGGGGAAUAGGAGAUAAAGGGAUUAUGUAUAUUUCUAGACAAUACAAAUUCUGUAGUAGACUGCCCCUUUAAUUCUAUUUGCUGCUUUGAUUGGAGGAGCACAAUGUAGCUGAAGGAUGAAUUAGAAUUGCAUCAAACAUUAUAUUUGAUCUAUCUGUAUGUAUACAACAUUACAAAAUUGUAUCUUUAUGUCAUAUACUUUUUAGAAUAAAUACAGUGCUUUUUACAAUCUUGCAUUUUAGCCAAUCAGUGCUGGUUCUUGUAUAACCAUUCUCAACGGGAGUGAGCACAAUGUUCUCUAUAUGUCAUACAUUAACCAGCACCAUCUGGCUGUUAUGGCCCACAGAGACUAAGAAACAGGCAAACUUAGAGGUUGCAAUGUAUAUUAAAGGGACAGUCUACACCAGAAUUUUCAUUGUUUAAAAAGAGAUAAUCCCUUUAUUACUCAUUCCCAAGUUUUGCAUAACCAACACAGUUAUAUGAAUACAAUUUUUCCCUCUGUGAUUACCUUUUAUCUCAGCCUCUGCAGACUGACUCAUUAUUUCAGUUCUUUUGACAGACUUGCAUUUUAGCCAAUAAGUGCUGACUCCUAGGUAACUCUACAGACAUGGGCAUAAUGUUAUCCAUAUGGCACACUUGAACAAACACCCUCUGGUUGUGAUUUUUUUCAAAAUGCAUUCAGAUAAGAAGCAGCAUUCAAGGGGUAAGAAAUUAGCAUAUCAGCCUACCUAUGUUUAGCUUUCAACUAAGAAUACCAAGAGAACAAAGCAAAAUUUAUAAAAAAAAAAUAAAGUUGUUUAACAUUAUAUGCCCUAUCUGAAUCAUGAAAGUUUAUAUUUGACUAGACUGUCCCUUUAGUAUAACAAUGUUUGUUAUGCAAAGUUGGGGGAUGGGUAGUAAAGGCGUUAUCUAUCUUUUUAAACAACAACAAAAAUCAAGUAGCUGUCCCUUUAAGAGUUCAUUAUUCUCCAACAACUGGUAACAACCUCCCACUACUACUACUACCGAGAAUUAGUUUAUGUUGCUGCAUCUUGUUAACCUAGUCUUUCUAUAAAGAAUACUGCAGUAUUCAUAUUUUUCAUAUAGGUGGGGGUUUCAACAUGCAGACACAGCUAUCUCAAAUGACAACAUAAGGAUGAAUUAGUUAUUUGUAAAAAAAAAAUGGACUACAUCCUGGUAAAAAUUGAUCAUUUUUUACAAUGUAAUUUGAAUCAGGCUUUUCCCCAUCUUUUGUUAUCAGGUGGUUAAUGAGUUUUGUGGAUGAGUAAUUUUUUGGGUUGCAGCCAAAUGUUUCAACAUAACCUAACACAUCUAAAAGCUUUCUAUGCACAUCAUCUGGUGUGGCGUAAGUCACAGUGAAAAUUUGUCAUUAAUGAUCUUUUUAGUAAAAUAAAUUAUGAAAAAUUACUUUUUAAAUAUAAACAAUCAAUUGAUCAA